rnacentral:rRNA from 1 species
AUUGAACGCUGGCGGCAUGCUUUACACAUGCAAGUCGAACGGCAGCGCGGGCUUCGGCCUGGCGGCGAGUGGCGAACGGGUGAGUAAUGCAUCGGAACGUGCCCAGUCGUUGGGGAUAGCCCGGCGAAAGCCGGAUUAAUACCGCAUACGACCUGAGGGUGAAAGCGGGGGACCGAAAGGCCUCGCGCUAUUGGAGCGGCCGAUGUCGGAUUAGCUAGUUGGUUGGGUAAAGGCUUACCAAGGCGACGAUCCGUAGCUGGUCUGAGAGGACGACCAGCCACACUGGGACUGAGACACGGCCCAGACUCCUACGGGAGGCAGCAGUGGGGAAUUUUGGACAAUGGGGGCAACCCUGAUCCAGCCAUGCCGCGUGCGGGAAGAAGGCCUUCGGGUUGUAAACCGCUUUUGUUCGGGAAGAAAUCCUCUGGGCUAAUACCCCGGGGGGAUGACGGUACCGGAAGAAUAAGCACCGGCUAACUACGUG